UACAGAGGUCCCAAGCGUUGUUCGGAUUCACUGGGCGUAAAGGGUGCGUAGGCGGUCGUGCAAGUCUGAUGUGAAAUCUCACAGCUUAACUGUGAAACUGCAUUGGAUACUAUCCGGCUCGAGGAAUGGAGGGGAGACUGGAAUACUUGGUGUAGCAGUGAAAUGCGUAGAUAUCAAGUGGAACACCAGUGGCGAAGGCGAGUCUCUGGACAUUUCCUGACGCUGAGGCACGAAAGCCAGGGGAGCAAACGGG
rnacentral:rRNA from 1 species